rnacentral:rRNA from 1 species
AUUGAACGCUGGCGGCAUGCCUUACACAUGCAAGUCGAACGGUAGCGGGCCUUCGGGUGCCGACGAGUGGCGAACGGGUGAGUAAUGUAUCGGAACGUACCUUUCAGUGGGGGAUAACGUAGCGAAAGUUACGCUAAUACCGCAUAUUCUGUGAGCAGGAAAGCAGGGGAUCGCAAGACCUUGCGCUGAUUGAGAGGCCGAUAUCAGAUUAGCUAGUUGGUGAGGUAAAGGCUCACCAAGGCGACGAUCUGUAGCGGGCCUGAGAGGAUGAUCCGCCACACUGGAACUGAGACACGGUCCAGACUCCUACGGGAGGCAGCAGUGGGGAAUUUUGGACAAUGGGGGCAACCCUGAUCCAGCCAUGCCGCGUGAGUGAAGAAGGCCUUCGGGUUGUAAAGCUCUUUCGGCCGGGAAGAAAUCGUAUCAGCUAAUACCUGGUGCGGAUGACGGUACCGGCAUAAGAAGCACCGGCUAACUACGUGCCAGCCGCCGCAGUAAUAC